UCAUCGUCAUCCAGAGAUAGGGGCAGGUAGAGAUCCUACAGGGAAAAACAUGGAGAAUCAUCGUCAUCCAGAGAUAGGGGCAGGUAGAGAUCCUACAGGGAAAAACAUGGAGAAUCAUCGUCAUCCAGAGAUAGGGGCAGGUAGAGAUCCUACAGGGAAAAACAUGGAGAAUCAUCGUCAUCCAGAGAUAGGGGCAGGUAGAGAUCCUACAGGGAAAAACAUGGAGAAUCAUCAUCAUCCAGAGAUAGGGGCAGGUAGAGAUCCUACAGGGGAAAACAUGGAGAAUCAUAGUCAUCCAGAGAUAGGGGCAGGUAGAGAUCCUACAGGGAAAAACAUGGAGAAUCAUCGUCAUCCAGAGAUAGGGGCAGGUAGAGAUCCUACAGGGGAAAACAUGGAGAAUCAUCGUCAUCCAGAGAUAGGGGCAGGUAGAGAUCCUACAGGGAAAAACAUGGAGAAUCAUCGUCAUCCAGAGAUAGGGGCAGGUAGAGAUCCUACAGGGGAAAACAUGGAGAAUCAUCAUCAUCCAGAGAUAGGGGCAGGUAGAGAUCCUACAGGGAAAAACAUGGAGAAUCAUCGUCAUCCAGAGAUAGGGGCAGGUAGAGAUCCUACAGGGAAAAACAUGGAGAAUCAUCAUCAUCCAGAGAUAGGGGCAGGUAGAGAUCCUACAGGGGAAAACAUGGAGAAUCAUAGUCAUCCAGAGAUAGGGGCAGGUAGAGAUCCUACAGGGAAAAACAUGGAGAAUCAUCAUCAUCCAGAGAUAGGGGCAGGUAGAGAUCCUACAGGGGAAAACAUGGAGAAUCAUAGUCAUCCAGAGAUAGGGGCAGGUAGAGAUCCUACAGGGAAAAACAUGGAGAAUCAUC